AGGCUUUGAUCCUGGCUCAGGAUGAACGCUGGCGGCGUGCUUAACACAUGCAAGUCGAACGAACCUUCGGGUUAGUGGCGGACGGGUGAGUAACGCGUGAGAAUCUGCCCUCAGGAGGGGGAUAACGGCUGGAAACGGCCGCUAAUACCCCAUAUGCCGAGAGGUGAAACGAGUUUUCGCCUGAGGAUGAGCUCGCGUCUGAUUAGCUAGUUGGUGGGGUAAGAGCUUACCAAGGCAUCGAUCAGUAGCUGGUCUGAGAGGAUGAUCAGCCACACUGGGACUGAGACACGGCCCAGACUCCUACGGGAGGCAGCAGUGGGGAAUUUUCCGCAAUGGGCGAAAGCCUGACGGAGCAACGCCGCGUGAGGGACGAAGGCCUCUGGGCUGUAAACCUCUUUUCUCAAGGAAGAAGAUCUGACGGUACUUGAUGGAAUAAGCCACGGCU
rnacentral:rRNA from 1 species